rnacentral:sRNA from 1 species
GGAGAGACAGGAAUUCUUUAUUCCAGACAGUAGACCAAUAGACUUCCCUUGAGAAAGCUCCAUGAGUGGGGAGGAUUGAGUGGAGCAAAGGCUUAUGGAGGAGACAGUUUAAGACUUACCUUCAGGAAAUUCAGUAUGGGAGGGGAUAAGGAAGGGAAAUCUCAGCCUGGGCAAAGGCUUGAUACUGAGAGACUUAGAUGCUCCCCUCAGGGCAGCAACAGCCUUAAGGAAGAGCAUUUUAGGCCCAACUAGGGCGCAACUAGGGCGCAAAGGUCCAGAGGUAGGAAGGCUCAGACAUAUUCAGCCCUUGAGGAUGUUAAUGAAGAGUUAUUAGGCAGAGUGCUGCGGCUCUGCCUUGAGCCCCAUCUUGUCGCUCCAGGUCGUGGGUGAGCCUGUACUGUGUGCUUAGUAAGGGGGAACUGGGCUUCUACAAGGACUCCAAGGGCCCGGCAUCCGGGAGCACACACGGUGGGGAACCGCUGCUCAGCCUGCACAAGGCCACCAGCGAGGUGGCUAGUGACUACAAGAAAAAGAAGCAUGUCUUCAAGCUCCAGACCCAGGAUGGCAGUGAGUUUUUGCUCCAGGCAAAAGAUGAGGAGGAGAUGAACGGCUGGCUGGAGGCUGUGGCUUCCUCGGUGGCGGAACACGCAGAGAUCGCCCGCUGGGGCCAGACACUACCCACUACUUCAUCCACAGAUGAGGGCAACCCUAAGAGGGAAAGCGGGGAUCGCAGGGCCAGCGGGCGCAGGAAGUGACUUCCCAC